rnacentral:tRNA from 1 species
UGGCUGAGUGGUAAAGCGCUUGGCUACCAAACCGGGGAUCCCAGGUUUGAAUCCUGG